UUCCUACGGGGCGCAGCAGUGAGGAAUAUUGGUCAAUGGGCGAGAGCCUGAACCAGCCAAGUCGCGUGAAGGAUGACGGCCCUAUGGGUUGUAAACUUCUUUUGUCAGGGAGCAAUUGAGUCCACGUGUGGGCUUAGCGAGAGUACCUGAAGAAAAAGCAUCGGCUAACUCCGUGCCAGCAGCCGCGGUAAUACGGAGGAUCCGAGCGUUAUCCGGAUUUAUUGGGUUUAAAGGGAGCGUAGGUGGAUUGUUAAGUCAGUUGUGAAAGUUUGCGGCUCAACCGUAAAAUUGCAGUUGAAACUGGC
rnacentral:rRNA from 1 species